UGAGACCCCUUGAUGGCCGCGGCCCGUUUUCGGACGGGCUGAGGAACUUCCGGGCUCCGCAGAGCACGAUGGCGGAUAACGUCCGCCCAGGGCGACCUGAGAGAUAGCGCAGCAGAGAACAGACCGCCUUCCGGCUUCGGCCGGACGGUAAGGGUGAAACGGCGGUGUAAGAGACCACCGGGCCGCCGGUAACGGCCGGCCGCAUGGCAAGCCUCAUCGGGAGCAAGGCCAAGCAGAGGACUAUUGGGUUGCUCGCCCGCGUCCUCGGGUAGGCUGCUAGAGCCUGGCGGCGACGUCAGGUCGAGAUGGAUGGCCAUCCGCGCGCUUCGGCGCGUGACAGAACCCGGGGUAUAAGGGGUCUCAUUUC
rnacentral:RNase_P_RNA from 1 species